UACGUAGGGGGCGAGCGUUGUCCGGAUUUAUUGGGCGUAAAGAGCGUGUAGGCGGCCAGGUAGGUCUGCUGUGAAAACUCGAGGCUCAACCUCGAGACGUCGGCGGAAACCAUCUGGCUAGAGUCCGGAAGAGGAGAGUGGAAUUCCUGGUGUAGCGGUGAAAUGCGCAGAUAUCAGGAAGAACACCCGUGGCGAAGGCGGCUCACUGGCCCGGUACUGACGCUGAGGCACGAAAGCUAGGGGAGCAAACAGG
rnacentral:rRNA from 1 species